UACGUAGGGUGCAAGCGUUGUCCGGAAUUAUUGGGCGUAAAGAGCUCGUAGGCGGUCUGUCGCGUCUGCUGUGAAAACCUAGGGCUUAACUCUGGGCGUGCAGUGGGUACGGGCAGGCUAGAGUGCAGUAGGGGAGACUGGAAUUCCUGGUGUAGCGGUGGAAUGCGCAGAUAUCAGGAGGAACACCGGUGGCGAAGGCGGGUCUCUGGGCUGUAACUGACGCUGAGGAGCGAAAGCGUGGGUAGCGAACAGG
rnacentral:rRNA from 1 species